rnacentral:rRNA from 1 species
AGCGAACGCUGGCGGCAGGCCUAACACAUGCAAGUCGAACGGAUCCUUCGGGAUUAGUGGCGGACGGGGGAGUAACACGUGGGAACGUGCCCUUUGGUUCGGAACAUCUCAGGGAAACUUGAGCUAAUACCGGCUGUGCCCCUCCGUGGAAAGAUUUAUCGCCAUUGGGGCGGCCUGCGUCUGAUAACUUAGUUGGUGAGGUAACGGCCCACCACGGCUGGGAUCAGUAGCUGGUCUCAGAGAAUGAUCAGCCACACUGGGACUGAGACACGGUGCAGACUCUUACGGAAGGCAGCAGUGGGGGAUCUAGCGCAAUGGGCGAAAUGCUGACGCUGCCAUGCCGGGAAAAUGAUGAAGGUCUGAGGAAAGUGAAGUUCUUUCAGCGGGGGCGGUAAUGACGGUACCCGCAGAAGAAGCUCCGGCUAACUUCGUG